rnacentral:rRNA from 1 species
AGGAUAAACGCUGGCGGCGUGCCUAACACAUGCAAGUCGAACGUCCUACGCAAGUAGGGAGUGGCGGACGGGUGAGUAACACGUGGGCAAUCUACCUUUCGGUGAGGAAUACCGGCGAGAAAUCGCCGACAAUACCGCAUACGCUUCGCAAGAAGCAAAGUCGCAAGACGCCGGAGGAGGGGCCUGCGCCCGAUUAGCUGGUUGGUGGAGUAAUGGUCCACCAAGGCUAAGACGGGUAGCUGGUCUGAGAGGACGACCAGCCACACUGGAACUGAGACACGGUCCAGACACCUACGGGUGGCAGCAGUCGAGAAUUUUUCUCAAUGGGCGAAAGCCUGAAGGAGCGACGCCGCGUGGGGGAUGAAUGGCUUCGGCCCGUAAACCCCUGUCAUUUGUGAACAAAUUGUUUCAUCUAACACAUGAAAUAUUGAUAGUAACGGAAGAGGAAGGGACGGCUAACUCUGUGCCAGCAGCCGC